UUUAUCUCCGAAUCCACAUUUAAGAACAUCACAGUGGAGUUCACCUUGGGAGAAGAGUACGAAGACACGUCACCAGAUGGCAGAAAGACGAAGAAUGUCAUCACUCUUAAUGAUGACAAAUUGACCCAAAUUGAGAAACCCCGUGACGGAAAAGGAAAACAGGUGACAUACAUAAGAGAGCUGACAGAAAGUGGAGAUCUAAAAGUGACUUGCAAACUUGACGAUAUUGUGGCAACACGCUUGUACAAGAGGAUCUAACACACCAAAGAUCAACCAAUGCAUGAACGCAUCGACAUCUCCAAACUCCCAAAGAUCCCAGACAGCAAUGACAAGAAGAUUUUUCAAAAAGCAAUGACAAGCAGAUUUUUUAGAGGCUAACGCAUAAAAUUGGGGAGUGCACAAGAAUUUAAAAUGUAAAACUUAAUAUCAGCAGACGUAUUCUGAAUGUACAUUCAUCUAUAGACAUAUUCCUCCCUCGAAAUUGAAGUAGCUUCAAAAUCCAUUCUUUAACCCCGUUGUUAUUGGUCUCGAAUAAUGUCUUGACGCAUAACCUCUUCACAAUAGCUGUCCGUAGCAUAAAACAUGCACAAGUUCUUGAUAGAAACAAAUUCAAUGUGUGGAAACCAAACACAAGAGCUAAUUCUUUAAAACAAGCCACUCUGUUAAUGUCUAUCUGUUUUCAUUUCGAUGAUUCAAGUAUUACCGCCUUUGCAGUGUAAACUACAAUCACAACGGAACUGAUUUCCCUGUGGAAUCGUAAUGAAACACUCAUUUGAUCGUCACCUUAUACCAAAAACGUACAUGUAUGGAGAAAUCCGACCAACAGAUUUAGAAACCAUUACUACGGGGCCAUCUUGUUAGCAUGCAGGCAGGUGGUGCGCAAGCGUGAAAUUCCUCCUUGACCAAUAGGCAAUAGUCAAUUGCCGAAGGGCGCGCGUGCGCUCAGGUUGAGACAGCUACGUGAGUGUAAAUGGCCCCUCGGAAAGGCGUCUCAUCGGAUUUGUUCAUACUUGAAGUACUUCCCUGCUGAAGAGACGACUCAGAAUAGCAAGCCCAAUUAACGAAAAUGGCAGGGUGGUCUGAGCAGUUUUUAAAAAGAACAGUAUUUUCAGUCAUUAGCAUCAGAAAUUUAUAGCAUCUCAUCGUUUUUAAACAAGGUAUUCGAACUUUUCCCGAAUUUUUAACUGUCUAUAUUCUAGUCAAUAAACUACCUUUAAUUAAACUGUA